GCAUCGGUGGUUCAGUGGUAGAAUGCUCGCCUGCCACGCGGGCGGGCCGGGAAUCGACCCCGGGUUCGAUCCCCGGCCGAUGCA